rnacentral:lncRNA from 1 species
GCCGAACGAAGAAGUUAAAAAUACAUUGUCAGUUGUAUAUUGCUUCCACAGAAGGAAAUAAUCUUUCCUAAUAUUGAGGGGCUCAUUUUUUUUAUAGCAAUGAUUGAUCUCCAUAGUCAAUACUGCAUUCUUGUUAGCUUCGAAGCGGUUAAUGUAGGAAUGAAAAUAUGAGUACGACGAGUGAAUUGUCCUCGGCCACAAUCUCCCAUAUUUGAUUCCCCAGUUAUCCUAGGCCCAAGAAAUACGUAAAUUGUACACGGCAUGAAAUAGGAGAUUAAAGAAUUGUGGUUGUCUGAACAAAACAAAUUUAUAGCAUAAUGAAAAAGGAUGUAUAUUCAUUAAAUAACAUAGCGAACGAGAACAAUAUUUUUCCCAAAACUUGUUUUGCAGUGAGUCGAAGCUUAGGAUGACGUUCCUACAUCUGUCGUACAAGACUCUUGGCUCUUUCUCAAAUGCUUAGCCAUGGUUCCCUCUCAAAGUUUACUUUCCCUCGUACAAUGACCUGAGCAACACCUUGUUCAGAUUCUGUGUAAUAACUUGAUUUAGAUGGAUGAUUAAUCAUCGUUGCAAACUUGAUUGAAAAGAAAAAUGGGUAAAAUGCAUCAUUCAAACGACAUUUAAAAUCCUCACCGGAAAGUACAAAACUAAAAACCAAGCAUCAUUCUGAAGUAUUCAAAUUGUUUUAUGUAAUUCUAAAGCUCCAUGAAAUUGAUACUUGUUUUGGCAAAUAUAAUGUCUCCUAAUAGAACACUCCAACAGUAAUUUCCAAUUACACAUAGCAAUUUAACACCGUAAUAUUGGAUGAUGAUAGAUUGUAAUGAAUGAGAUUAAUGACAUAAUAUGAAGUAAUAAAGAUCACAGCAAGAAACAAAAUUGAAAGUAAGAAAGAACAAAGACAUUUAAUUGCAGAGGAACGAUUUAUAUUAACAGACAAUAUGGAGAG